ensembl:lncRNA
AUCGCCUGAUCCGUGGUUUCGCUGAGAAUCUGGGAUUAAAAUGGCCAUCCGAUACAUCAAGCACAAGUACCUGUGGAUUUAUGUUUUAAAUUAUGAGAAACAGUAGAAACAAAGCAAUAAUGGAGAAUUCACCCGUGGCGAAUUUGGAGGGACAUCAAUCUUGGACAGGUCCAGGAUUACAGAACAUUGCCUUCUCAACACAGGAGCAAACCUCAGAAAGCUCUGCUCUGUCAGCCAGCGGCUCAGUCGACCGCAGAGGGGAUGAUUGCCUGCCUGAAGCCCAAAGCACGCUGUGGGAGUCGGAUGAAGACGUACACAGGCAUAAAGAGAGUAUUAGUUGUGUCAGUCCUGACAAUGUUGAAUCCAAUGAAGCUUUGUGCUUACGGGACCCUGAACAGUCAACCGUUCCCAGUGAAGCACCCUUGGACAUCUGCCCACUGGCCUCAGCCCAACUUCAGGAUGCAGGUAUUGUGUCCAUAUUACCUUGGGCAAAGGACAACUGCUGUUCGGAUCCUGUUCUGGUUACAGAGGACCAGGUGGUUCAGAAUCAUACUGGUCGGACGACAGAUCUAAAUUUUGGAUGUGAAAAGACACCCUUAAAGCCGUUGGAGACAACGUCAAAUGGCCAUGCCUUCAUGCCUCCUGGGGACCCGUUCCCCGUCCUCAAUCUGGGAUCCACUCCCAUCCUCGCUGUCCCUUCAACUGUCCCUGAUCUUGGCCUGAGAGUCCUUGAUCUCCCGCGCAUUGUCAAUUCCGACAACGGAGAGUCGUCGCUGGAGGAGGAGGAGGAGGAUGAUGAUGGUGAUGAUCACAAUGAUGAUGGUGGUGAUGACGGCGACGACGACGACGUGUUCUCAGAGUGUCCUCAGAGCAGAGAGUACGUUGUCAAUCGCAGACAGAGGAGCGCAGGUGUAGACAAAGAGAAGAGGAGAGCGGUCCUGAACGCCAAAGCAGGAAUCGACCACACGGCCAAUCACUGGGGUUCUCAAGCAGAGGGAGAGACCAGCAGUAAGGAGGAUUGACUCAUACCAGCUCAGUUGCCAUGGUGUGAGGACGUCGCACAAUUGCCCGGGGCCGGAUCGAGGGCAAAGGCACCAGGAGAUGAAUCAAGGGUAGUGUCUCACUUGAGCGUCAAGCCCUCUGUGGAAUUUGUCUCUUUCUAAAUAGAAGUGCCGACAUUCCUAACCAGCACCUUGUGGGGAUGUCACUGAAAAGAGACAGUGUGAAUGUGUUCCAGAUUUCUCUUGAGCAUGUGGCAGAAUGGGGCAUCUGUUUUUUGCAUGUCUCCUUGUCUCUUCUCCAGGGUUUGAUUAGGAGUCCAGUGCACAAGAUCUGCUGCUUCUUUCAUUUUCUCUUUUUAUACAAAAUCUAUAUUUUUUGUCACUUUUUGCUCUUGACCCGAGGAGCCACAAUCCUCUUUUCACACACAAACAUACACCAGAGCUAGAGGCCAACUUCAUGACAUUUCAGCGGCAUUGCUGGAUUAAAUCAAGUCAAUAGAUAAUAUCCAUGUACUCGCCGUUGAAUCGGUCUCUGGUUUCUUUCCACUGGGAGGAAUGUACACCCACUGAGGUGCAGACAUCAGGAUUUGUUCAGAACUCACAUGUGCUAAAAGUUUUAUACUCAUGUGCUUUGU